UACGUAGGGGGCUAGCGUUAUCCGGAAUUACUGGGCGUAAAGCGCACGUAGGCGGCUUUGUAAGUUAGAGGUGAAAGCCCGGAGCUCAACUCCGGAACUGCCUUUAAGACUGCAUCGCUUGAACGUCGGAGAGGUAAGUGGAAUUCCGAGUGUAGAGGUGAAAUUCGUAGAUAUUCGGAAGAACACCAGUGGCGAAGGCGACUUACUGGACGACUGUUGACGCUGAGGUGCGAAAGCGUGGGGAGCAAACAGG
rnacentral:rRNA from 1 species